UACGAGGGGUGCAAGCGUUGCUCGGAAUUAUUGGGCGUAAAGGGUAGGUAGGUGGUCUCAUUUGUCUUAUGUGAAAUCCUUGGGCUUAACUCAAGAAGUGCGUAAGAAACGGUGAGACUCGAGUCCUAGAGAGGGUCGUGGAAUUCCCGGUGUAGCGGUGAAAUGCGUAGAGAUCGGGAGGAACACCAGAGGCGAAGGCGGCGACCUGGAUAGGUACUGACACUCAACUACGAAAGCGUGGGGAGCAAACAGG
rnacentral:rRNA from 1 species